rnacentral:rRNA from 1 species
CCUGACGACCAUUACCAUGCUGGAAUAUACCGGUUCUCGUCCGAUCACCGAAGUCAAGCCAGCGUAGGGCCUGGUAGUACUUGGAUGGGAUGACCGCCUGGGAAUUACGCGGUGUGUAGGC